rnacentral:rRNA from 1 species
GGCGAGUGAAGCGGCAACAGCUCAAAUUUGAAAGCUAGCCUUCGGGUUCGCAUUGUAAUUUGUAGAGGAUGAUUUGGGGAAGCCGCCUGUCUAAGUUCCUUGGAACAGGACGUCAUAGAGGGUGAGAAUCCCGUAUGUGACAGGAAAUGGCACCCUAUGUAAAUCUCCUUCGACGAGUCGAGUUGUUUGGGAAUGCAGCUCUAAAUGGGAGGUAAAUUUCUUCUAAAGCUAAAUAUUGGCGAGAGACCGAUAGCGCACAAGUAGAGUGAUCGAAAGAUGAAAAGCACUUUGGAAAGAGAGUUAAAAAGCACGUGAAAUUGUUGAAAGGGAAGCGCUUGCAAUCAGACUUGUUUAAACUGUUCGGCCGGUCUUCUGACCGGUUUACUCAGUUUGGACAGGCCAGCAUCAGUUUCGGCGGCCGGAUAAAGGCUCUGGGAAUGUGGCCUCCACUUCGGUGGAGGUGUUAUAGCCCAGGGUGUAAUACGGCCAGCCGGGACUGAGGUCCGCGCUUCGGCUAGGAUGCUGGCGUAAUGGUUGUAAGCGACCCGUCUUGAANNACGGACC